GAAGGCAGCGCAUACGGGGCGUCGCCUGUCUAUAAAUUCUCAGGCGCGAUAUUUCUCAACUCUGCACAAUUCAACCUCUUCUCAAUCGCCAACUCAACACUCGUGAACGACCUGCAGCCAUGCCGUCAGAACUGGAACGUGCCAUGGAGUCCUGAUCACCGUGUUCCACAGGUACGCUGCUAAGGAGGGCAGUAG